rnacentral:rRNA from 1 species
CACUGGCCUAUACAAUCAUUGUUGCGGUUAAGAGGCUCGUAGUUGGAUUGAACUUUUUUUAUAUAAAUACAACACUGUGAACAAAUCAGAGUGUACAAAACAUGUCUUUUGUUGAGUGCAUUGAAUGAUUCAUCAUGGAAUGUUGCUUAUAUAUUUAUUGCGAAUCUAUGUAUUCGUGGACAAUAUUGUCGAUGAGGGCAGCUGGAGCCAAGAGUACUGCUGGGCGAGCGGUGAAAUGCGUGGACCCUAGUAAGACUACCAGGAGCGAAAGCGCUUGGCUAGGCUAUCCCUUUGGUUUACUCUUUUACAA